UACGAAGGGGACUAGCGUUGUUCGGAAUUACUGGGCGUAAAGCGCACGUAGGCGGAUACUUAAGUCAGGGGUGAAAUCCCGGGGCUCAACCCCGGAACUGCCUUUGAUACUGGGUAUCUCGAGUCCGGAAGAGGUGAGUGGAAUUCCGAGUGUAGAGGUGAAAUUCGUAGAUAUUCGGAGGAACACCAGUGGCGAAGGCGGCUUUCUGGUCUGCUCUUGACGCUGAGGCGCGAAAGCUAGGGUAGCAAACGGG
rnacentral:rRNA from 1 species